rnacentral:tRNA from 1 species
UGUCGACCGGCUAAGUCCGCACUGAGACCCAAAUAGAUCGACUAAGCAUGUAGAACUGGUCGUAGAGGACUUGCGGACGCGGGUUCGAUUCCCGCCGGCUCCACCA